CGCUGUCCCCACCUUUUAGCCGCCGACGAACCCUGUUGGAGCCCACUGAGACACCCCGGAAACCUCCUUCCACAUCCGGUAACCCCAAACAGCAAGGAGAAGCUCCGACCAGCGAGAAACGAGCCUGAACAGCGACCGAACGGCGAAAAUCUGCACUGCAGAAAACUGCAGAUUUGUGCCAACUUCGCGUGCACUUUACGAUCACCUCCGACCUCCGUUUUCAUCGAUUUUUUCUCUGCAGUUCACAGAUCCCGACAGUUUCGUGCCGACUUUGCACGCGCUUUCCGGCCACCUCCGGUCUCCGUUUCCAACAUCGUCUUCGCCGCCGUUGAUUCCGCGAAACCCAUCGUAACGCCGUGCAACCGCCCCGAUGACCCCCGUUGUAGUUGACGACGUACCCAAGGCAAGAACCCUAUUCUUGCUCAG